UCCCCCCCCCCCCCCCCCAAAGCAUGCAUCACCCCCACCUUUUGCCUUUCUGCAGAGCGGUGCGUUUUCUUUUGCCUCUGCAACGGGAAGAAGGGAGGGGUAGGAAGCUGUGGGGUACCAACCCUCCCCAAGGGGAAAAAUCUUUCUUGUCACAGAAGCUGAUUCACCCCGUGGCGUCCUCGGCCUGAUAGGAGUUUGGGACAACAGAGUUUGUAGCCCAAGAAGCCAGGGGGAAGGGCUGGUUUUCCAGGGUCUCUUAUCCAAGCAAAGGCCUGGCCAGGAGUUUCUCCACCACAGCACCCCACACCCCAGCCCCAAGGCCGCAGAAGGUGCUUCCAGUGACCCACCGCCCUGUUCCUCCCUGCUCGGCGCAUUCAUGGGCUCCCUGCCCCCCUCCCUCUCCAGCUCUGCCUUGUGCUGUGGACGUGGUCCUGUCUCGUGUCUCCCGACUCCCUCCCUCCGACUCCCUCCCCAGCUUGAGUCGCCUCUGCUGAGCAUCCUCCCCCCCCACCCCACCCCUUCCUCUGCCAUCAGUCAGGAUGAGGCCAAGGGAGGAGGUGACCCAGAGCCCCUGCGGCUGAUGGAGGAGGGCACUGGAUGCUCCGUGCCAUCUCCUGCCAGCCAUGCAUUUUGUACCAGUCUAUAAAUAAAAAUAUAUAAAUAUAAAUAUAUAAAUACAAUAUGUGAAGACAUCUUACCGGUUUUUAUUUUGAAAUGAUUUCUAGGCUUGUUUUGGGGUAUCUGUGCUGCCUGUAAUGUAUUGAUUGACCUGUUUUAUAGGUGCCUUUUUAUUAAAAAAAAUUAAACUUCUGCCAGGA